UUUAAAUAGAGCCGAUUCGGUUCAAAUCUGAUUCUUAUUGGAUAUGUAUCUUCAAGCUAGAUCUGAUGAUCAAAAUAUUUUUCAGAUCUGAAUUGUUCAAUUUCUUAAUUUUUAUUUGAAGAUCAUGCCUACAAAAGAUCAUUUGAAUCGGAAAUCUUUUAGUUAUUAAAUUGUAUCAAAUAAAUGAAUAGUAUAGGUACCAAAUAAUAUAUUAAUGAUGAUUAUCCAUUUAUUUAAUAUAUUUUGAUGACUAAACAAUAUCUGAUUCAAAAUAUUAUUUGUGAAGAUCAAAUUUCUAUAUAUGUUAUAUACAGGUGUAGAGCAUAUAUAGUUCAUGCAAAUUAACCUAGGCCAAAAAGUUAUUUGGUCC
rnacentral:lncRNA from 1 species